rnacentral:rRNA from 1 species
UGGGGAAUUUUGGACAAUGGGCGAAAGCCUGAUCCAGCAAUGCCGCGUGUGUGAAGAAGGCCUUCGGGUUGUAAAGCACUUUUGUCCGGAAAGAAAUCCUUGGCUCUAAUACAGUCGGGGGAUGACGGUACCGGAAGAAUAAGCACCGGCUAACUACGUGCCAGCAGCCGCGGUAAUACGUAGGGUGCAAGCGUUAAUCGGAAUUACUGGGCGUAAAGCGUGCGCAGGCGGUUUGCUAAGACCGAUGUGAAAUCCCCGGGCUCAACCUGGGAACUGCAUUGGUGACUGGCAGGCUAGAGUAUGGCAGAGGGGGGUAGAAUUCCACGUGUAGCAGUGAAAUGCGUAGAGAUGUGGAGGAAUACCGACGGCGAAGGCAGCCCCCUGGGCCAAUACUGACGCUCAUGCACGAAAGCGUGGGGAGCAAACAGGAUUAGAUACCCUGGUAGUCCACGCCCUAAAACGAUGUCAACUAGUUGUUGGGGAUUCAUUUCCUUAGUAACGUAGCUAACGCGUGAAGUUGACCGCCUGGGGAGUACGGUCGCAAGAUUAAAACUCAAAUGAAUUGACGGGGU